CUUGUCUUGCUCUGUUUCUUUUUUGACCUUUAUCCUUUGGAAGAGGCUUGGCUGGCUCUUUUGAGUGCUACCACGUAUCAAUUGCUCUUCUCAUUUUUUGACUUUUGAAAGAGAUAAAAUCUGAUGGUGUGUGGAAGAUUGAACUGGAUUCUUUGGUGCUUCCCUGGAUGACUUAUAGGGAUUCACUUACUCUCUUUGCGUUGCUGUUUAAGUAGCAGAUAAGACGCCCACCACAUGUUCGAUGAAAGUCUUGUGUACGUGUACCAGUAUGUUGUUGCCUCGUCGCUCUUUCUUCAUUCAUUCAUAGGUGUUAGAGAUUUGGGCGAGCUGUGAGGCUUUCACUUGUUUGCUGACCACUCCCUUGUGCACGAAAGCUAACAGAACCCAGCUCCUUUUUCUUUUCUUCCUCACUUUGUAUGCAGCGACAAUAUCUUCUUAACUAGCAGAUUGAUCCGACAGUUUGACUUCCUCUAUUUUGAAAGACAUGCGUUGCAAAGUUUGUAAUUUUGGAGAAUGUUGGUUUUCUCCAAAGGUACCAGUGGAGGCAAGAACUUUGACAGCGUGAUUUCACCGCUGGGAUUUGAUGGACAAAGUGAGUCCAGAUUUCUCACAUAGAAGUGAAAGGCUUCGGCUUCACAACUUGGUCACGUAAAAGCCUCUGCAUUAUAUUUAUGAAUGCAAAGCGUGUUGCAGCUUCAUUUAUCAAUUUGGCCGGGUGAGUUGUACAUGUUUUGCAACUUUUUGUUUUACUCAUUUGUUGUGAUGGUGUUCAGCUACAUAAGGAGCCUUGGCAAAGCUCCAGUAGUGACCAAUUGCCUUGCUUCUGGCAUGGAGGGAGCAGCUUUUCUUAUUUGUUUCAAGACCAAUGGUCAUGGUUUAUGAUCAAGGAAUAGCACAUCCAAAAGAAGAGAGGUGCGUGGCUCGUCAGUAGUAAGGGUAACCUGCAGCUUUGACUUUCUUUGUGAGUUUGAAAGUGCCACAGAGACGAGACGCUGCUGCCAGGAUGAGAGAGCAAAGUUGUCGCUGCUACAAUAUGGGGAGGCCUGCUGCUGGGAUUUGAGAGCGCAAGGCCUGCAGCGAAGGCGCUGCCCUGGCAUGUUCAUCGGGACGCUGCCCGGCAUGGUCAUUGGGACGCUGCCCGGCAUGGUCAUCGGGACGCUGCCCGGCAUGGUCAUCGGAGGCGCAGCUCUGGCAUGGUAUUUUUGUUCUUUUGUUUUUACUUUGGUACGGCAUCGUUGAGAGGCCUGUGAACACCCAAAGAGGAGGUGGAGCCUGUGAGCAUUCAAAGAGAAGGUGGAGCAUGGAAGGGAGGAAAUCUCAACCUUUGUGGUGUCUUGAAUAUCUUCCUGAGCUUCGUCUUCCAAACUGUUUUCUUGCCUUCGCUACUUUUCCACGCUGCUGCAUAUGCUCCGUUGUGUCCUCCUUUUCUUUUCUUCACAUCAUGCUUAUAUAAUGCACUAGUGACGAGUUUGACUUGCAUACAACAUUGAGAGUUUUAGAGUUCAACUCGAAGUGAACUAGUUGGAAACUUUAUCUCCACAAUAUUUUUUCUCUUCUGACGUCAAAACUGUAACUUAUUUUUUAAUUGCAUUGCUGGCAAGACUUCUAACAAACCUAGAAGUCCAAUGCUUUACGAGCUUGACAA